UCACCCCUCAAGCCCGGCUUGUUGUUGGACGCGGCGGCCCCUCCGUUUAGUUACGGUUCCGCCCGUCUCAAAGAUAAUGACGGCGUCUGUGAGGACUCCUGUACACUGAGCUUUCGGGCACGUACUAGGCUAGACACUCCAGACCGCCGGUCGUCGUCCCCCUCAAAAGGGACAAUUAUAACCCCACAA
rnacentral:misc_RNA from 1 species